rnacentral:hammerhead_ribozyme from 1 species
AUCCAGCUGACGAGUCCCAAAUAGGACGAAACACGAGUCCUGGAC